GGAGUUAGCCGGUGCUUCUUCUGCGAGUAACGUCACAGAUGUAAGGUAUUAACUUACACCCUUUCCUCCUCGCUGAAAGUGCUUUACAACCCGAAGGCCUUCUUCACACACGCGGCAUGGCUGCAUCAGGGUUUCCCCCAUUGUGCAAUAUUCCCCACUGCUGCCUCCCGUAGGAGUCUGGGCCGUGUCUCAGUCCCAGUGUGGCUGAUCAUCCUCUCAGACCAGCUAGGGAUCGUCGCCUAGGUGAGCCUUUACCUCACCUACUAGCUAAUCCCACCUGGGCUUAUCCAUCAGCGCAAGGCCCGAAGGUCCCCUGCUUUCCCCCGUAGGGCGUAUGCGGUAUUAGCAGUCGUUUCCAACUGUUAUCCCCCACAAAUGGGCAAAUUCCCAGGCAUUACUCACCCGUCCGCCGCUCGUCAUCUUCAAAAGCAAGCUUUUGAAAUGUUACCGCUCGACUUGCAUGUGUUAGGCCUGCCGCCAGCGUUCAAUCUGAACACGAGCAUAACUGACUACGAGCGGCGNGCGACGACGC
rnacentral:rRNA from 1 species